GAUGAACGCUGGCGGCGUGCCUAAUACAUGCAAGUCGAGCGAAUGGAUUAAGAGCUUGCUCUUAUGAAGUUAGCGGCGGACGGGUGAGUAACACGUGGGUAACCUGCUCAUAAGACUGGGAUAACUCCGGGAAACCGGGGCUAAUACCGGAUAACAUUUUGAACCGCAUGGUUCGAAAUUGACAGGCGGCUUCGGCUGUCACUUAUGGAUGGACCCGCGUCGCAUUAGCUAGUUGGUGAGGUAACGGCUCACCAAGGCAACGAUGCGUAGCCGACCUGAGAGGGUGAUCGGCCACACUGGGACUGAGACACGGCCCAGACUCCUACGGGAGGCAGCAGUAGGGAAUCUUCCGCAAUGGACGAAAGUCUGACGGAGCAACGCCGCGUGAGUGAUGAAGGCUUUCGGGUCGUAAAACUCUGUUGUUAGGGAAGAACAAGUGCUAGUUGAAUAAGCUGACACCUUGACGGUACCUAACCAGAAAGCCACGGCUAACUACGUGCCAGCCGCCGCCGUAA
rnacentral:rRNA from 1 species